rnacentral:tRNA from 1 species
ACCUGGCUGGCUCAGUUGGUCGAGCAUGUGACUCUUGAUCUUAGGGUUGUGAGUUCUAGCCCCAUGUUGGGUG